GGCCCCGCUCCCGGCCCCGGCCCCGCUCCGCUCCGCUGCGGCGCCCCUGGCCCCGCGCCCCUUCCCACGGGAGGCGGGGAGGCACAAACAAAGGAACCCGCCGGCCGGCUGCUGUUUGUCUGGUGUCACUGGCUGCCCGAGGCAGAUAUGGGACACCCCAUAAAGCAGUGUUUACAUUUCUCCCGCCACUUUGACCCCUUGCUGCAAUCCCGUGUGCUUUGUGUUAUACAAGGGGGUGCGUGACCAGCUUUCAUCAUACUGAUAGAGCCUUUAAGUCGUUCAUGAGGAUUUUAGAGACUGCCUUGGCCGGGGCAGGAGGCGCCGGGCUCCUGACAGUUGCAGAAAGUGCCUGAGGACAAACCUUUAGAGCACAAGCACUCCGUAACGCUGCCCAAAGUUGUAGAUGGUUGGUACUCGCUGGUGGAUCAGAAAAUAAAGCAGAUCCUAAGGGUCUGGGCCAGUAUGUGCUAAAUAAAGCAUCCAAAUCAGACAGUGCUUAUAUUUUCUUCUUUAUAUGUCUUUCUUAUUCCUUGAGUAUUGGAAAAAAAAAUUAAAAAAACCCUUUAGCAGGCUUUUUGCCUCUCCUGUUCAAUCCACAGCUUCCCCUCUCAUGACAGGGACUCAUUUUUGUUUUGAAUAAAGCAUCUGGCAGAGUAGUUUUUCUAUAAUUUUAGACAUUAUUCCCUUCUGUCACUGCCUUAGAGAGUCUUUCUAAUACCUUAUUGCAGGUACUGCAAGACCAUUUUCAUUAGUUCAUGUAAAGUGCUUUGAACAAAAACAUGCUAGAGCAAUUCUAACCAUGAGAUUAAUUCUUCAGUCUUAAUGUUACCUGGUUCCCCUUGUCUUAGCAUGUUUUCAGCUCACUGUAGUAUAUGCAUCAGCUAUUUAUGUCUAACUCAGACAUACAAACAUAUCAUUACUUUUUUUUUUUUUUUUUAGAAUUUCAAAUUAAAACUUCAGAGUAGUGAUGGGGAAUUAAUUUUGGAACAUCUGUUUUGAUUUUUUGCCUUAAAACUUGUUUAUAAAGGUGUCACUGUGUUUAUGCAACUAGGUUCCCUAGUGGAUGCAUUUUCCAGAGUAUAAAAUCUUCCAAUGUUCUCACUGAGUAUGUUUGUUUUCAAGUUAACAUCGCAGAGCAGGAGAUAUUACUUCACAAAACAAAUAUAAAAGGCCUUUCACAAACUCCUCCCAGCUUCUCUGCUUACUCCGGUUACCAGCUAAAUCACUGGCAGAAAGAAUAAUCUACUGUGCAUUUUUAAAAAAAUAUAACAGCAAAUCAUUGGAAAUUGCUUAUUAAAAGAUUUUUAUGUCAGUUUUGUGUUGUGCCUACUUAUGUGGCAUUUUCCAUUUAAAUUUUUUUUUUCCUGGGACCAGUCUCAUGAAAUAAUGUUUGCCAUUGAUAAUGGCUACCAGCAUUCCUAGAGGUGACUUUGCUUUAACACAACCAAGGCAAACAAACCUCCCAGCUGGCAGGGAAAGAGGACGAAAUUACUGCAAAAGUUGAGACAGUGUAUCUACAGACAACAGUAAUCAACUUCUGUAGAAAUCCUUUACUUGCUUGUACACAUCUCAAGUUACUCAUUCCUCUUUGCUUUUCUGAGAAAAAGACUGUUAUUCAUUCUCUUGUUUAAUCAAGCUGUCUGCUAAAGCACACAGUGUUGAGUAAUACCUGGUUUCCUUGUAAGUAAAGUAUUGUAGGUUAUCUAAUUGUCUAUUUUUUGCGUGUGCGUGUCUGAAAUUUGUUUGAGUUUGUGUGCUCAGACAUCAAUGGCACUUCUUUGUUUCCUUUUUAUAAAGUUGUAAAGUUUUUUCCAUCCCUCUCAACCUUAGCUCACAGGGUUAGGCCAAACACUGCCAGCAGAAUUAACACUGCUGGAUAAAGGGAAGAGGCUGAAGUGGUUGCCACUUCAGGGAAGAGGAAGGAGAUGCCCCACAUCUCUAGAUCCAUGGCCACUCUUCACUAACAGCAAAAAUUGCCCCGUAACAACUCUUCUACAUCUGAUGGGGAAGGAGCUUUGCAUAGGCAGGAGAGCACAAGCUCCCUGGUAUGAGAUAGAAGCACUGCAGUGGCUGGGGGUAACAAGAACAGGCAGGGGUGAAGCAAUGGCAGUAAAUCUGCAUUUAUCCUGUUCUGCUCAGAUGCCUUUAGGUAAUUUGUUUCUCAACUAAAAGCACCCUAAAUGCAGCCAAAUGUCUAAUCAGAUGUGAUAAAGGCUCUCCCUGUUUCAACUUGGUUCCAUUUGGAUACUCUUCAUACUUUUUAAUACUCAUACAGCUGUUAUGGAGACUACAAAACAGCUACUUGAAGCUGUUUGCACAGUGUAAGCUUUCAUCUUCCUUGAGGUUUGUUCUGCUGUCUCAGGUCCCAAAGAGCAGCUCCUCUGUUAUUCUCUCUGGCACUUGCUGCUUCUCUAUAUUAACUGCAAGUGAUCCCAACAGGAGCUGUAACUCCACAGUGCACAUAGAAAUAAGGACUAAAAUGUCACUCAAGAAGUCUCUGACUGCACAACUGAAGGGAUAUUCCUUAAAAGAACAAAUAAAAAUGAGGCAUUAGUUUUAGCUCUCAUGCCUGGGACUAAGCCAAUGUAAAUGACAAGUAAAAUACUAAAUUAAAGCAGAUUAAGAUUGAUUGCCCAAUACAGGUGGGGCAUGCUGUACCUGGAUUUCACAAGUUUUGUUGGCUUGUGUCCUAUAUUCAUCUAGGUGGAAAAUCAGGGGUUUGAUCUACAUUAAGUCUUUCAAGAUGGAAAUCUUCAUGCAAAAUCAGUGAUUGGAUUACUUUCCUGAGCCCUUUUUUCCUAAUUUUGAAAUCGUGUCAUGCUUGGAAAGUGAAAACCCUCUUUCUUUUCCUAUUUGCUAUUGGUAGCAAUCAGCUGACUUACUAAGAUGACAGAAAUAACUGAUUCCAACUAUUUUCCUUGGUGUUUCUGGCAACUUUUUAAAGCAAGCUAGAGCACAGGCAUAUUUUAAUAAAUUAUUAUACUCUAAAUAGAACCUCAAUGAAACAAGACCUUUUUUCUACCACCUUUGUAUAGACUUGGUAACAAAUGGCCACUGUAUCAAGUAUUGACUUUAAUUACAUGUCAGACUAGAAAUUUGCUCCUGAAUACAAAUUCAAUGCAAGAAUAAAGCAAGCUCUGAGAAGGGCCCCUCUCUUUACUUUAUCAGUAAUAACAAACUAACUUACCUUUACACAGGUAAGACACAUACCUGAUUUGUUGCUUUGCAUUCAUGCUAAUUUUAACUGACCGUGUUAUGGAAAUCCCUUUAUAUCUGUUACUCUGACAUUUCACUUAUACUCUCCUUUUCUCCCCAGUUCCUGAUUGGGUUUUACACAAUGCCAAGUUCUGUGUAGGUUAAGUUGCCUUACAUCUCCUUGCAAAGUGUGUGCAUAUUAGCCAGCAUUUCAGGAUCUGCAGGUCAGCUCAGGUGACACUGGAAGCAGGGCCUGGCCCAGUGUAAGGCACGCAAGGUCCUUCCAAACUUUCAAACUACUGAAAGAGAAUUGUAGGGUGGAAAGGGGGAGAGGGAUGGUGUGCAGGGAUAUAUUGGCAUCAUGUAGGAAGUUCCUUCAGAUAGCACAGGUGGGUAACACAUCCCAACCCUGGGCCUGGAGCCAUGGGCCUUCAAUGGCAUUAUACAGUUUCUAUACACUGAAACCCCUAUUUUUCUGUUUGCUUUAAAGCGAAAGGGUUGUACAUUCAUCUCCUGUGCCCACGCUUUUUAUUUGCAUAACAAUUGCAGUAGGUUCCUGUUUCACGUUUAUUCAAGCCACUUCUUCACUACCUACAUUGUUAUUUAGACAAUAAAACUACCAAAAUCCUUCUACUUAGGUAGCUGAAAUCUCAGGCAGCUUCUGCUAAAGUAUUUUGAUUAAAAUACUGUAGAGCUAUUUUUUUUUCCCUCACUAAUUCAUCAGACUUUUAAAUUUAAUAGAAAAAAUCUGACUUAUAAUCCAGCCUUAAUUGUAAAUGCAAGUUGACUGUGUCCCUGGGAGUUUUGGGAAGAUAAAGCACAAUUUAGACAAUGACAUGCAGAAAUAUAAUUUAACAUGCCAAGAAAAAGAUACAAGAUUGACUGGUACACCCAGUAAUGAAAGAUGUUAAGCUUAAAUUGCCAUCCUAUAAUUUUCUGAAUUCUGAAUUCUUUGAAUACGUGACUAUGUGCACACGAAGGAAGUAUCUUCCAGGCAAGAGCAUCUGACCUCAUUAAGACAGAACUGUUGUUCCUCAGUUGUCUGUACAUGUUGCAUACAUAAGUGAAUCUGUAGUAAAACCCAUGGUUUUUAAGAGGCCAAAAACUACUGCAGAUGAAGGUGAAAGAAAACUGGUUUCAAGAGCACAAUUAUCAAAAUCAUGUGUUCAUAAGCUCACCACCCACAGAAUCCAGUUUUUGAUAUUUUCUGGUUGAAUACCUUAGCAAAAUUUAUUCUUAAAUAGACCUUUUCCAAUAACUCUUCAAGUUAAGAGGGUCUUAAUGUCUAAUCAUUUCCUAAUGAAACAUUAUUUUAAUUCUUUCAUUUAAUUCAGUUAUGAAAUCUAGUGGUUUAUCUAUAAAUUUUGAAUGGCAAAAAUUUUGAAUGCAAAUCCGCUUCGAUCAAUGUGUCAGGGAAAAGUUACCUGAGGGCAAGUCCUGUUCUGUAAUCUCAGAAUCAGAUCUGCCAAUUAAUGGUCAGCCCCACCAAUUGUCUCAUGUGAUAUGUGGGGGCAUGCAAGUCAUCACUGCCGUUUUAAGUCAAAAUCCAGAAUUUGCCUUCUCCUUCCUCCCCAAAACAGCUCAUGUCAGCUUGAAUUACACAAGCAUAAUACAAACUCAAAGCCUUACUCCAUGGUAAGCAGGUCAGGUUUAUUUUUCUGCUGUGAGCUGUUUUAAUAAAAAGAUUGGAAUGCUAAUUCAAGUCUUCAGGUCCCUAUUAGUUAAGGGCCUCUGGGCUGUGCUUUCUUGGCCUCUUGAGAGGAGGAGAGAAAAAAGCAAGCAAGUAACUUGGCUACUACAGCAUAGAUCUCAGCUAUGCUGAAAUGUUUGGGUUUGCCAGCUCUGAUUGUAGAGCUUGUUUGUGCAAGUCACAGCAAAAGCAGUCUCAAGGAAAUAGUACAGUGUUUCAUAGUGUGAUGUUAUUGCCUGAUAACCAUCAAGAGGAGCCACAAAGCAGUGGCGAUGAAAAUGAAACAACUGGGAGCAGCCAGGAGCCGGUAAAUUCUGAAAUUCAGAAAUAGUUAUAAUACCACUGUUCUCUUCUGGGAAUAAAAGCAGCCCAUUUUUUUGUGGCCUCCUCAAGGGAACUCUUUUCAAUUCUUUCCUAUUGCCAUUACCAAAUCCACACAUGCUCUCUCCAGAGUGAUGGUUUUCCUUUGAAAUUUGCUGAAGAUUUAACAAAGACAGUGUCAGGUCAGUUUGUACCCUUCUUUAGUCUUUCUGGGCCUGGUGGUAUUUUGCAGUUUGCCAGCACUCUCAGUUGGUACCUUUGUAAAUGGAACCUCCAGGUACACUAAAACUCCUAAGAGACAAAGCAGCUCCUGGCAGGGCAUUGCCUUAUUGUAGUUCUUUGGAGUGAUAUGUUCUGGCAUCACAUUGCUUCUUUGAUCAAGUAAUUCUGCCGACACUUCUUGCAUCAUGACUCUCUCCUUGAGAAACAGCCCAUCAUUUCAUACUGUUGUCUUUUCCUGAUGGGUUUCCUGAGGCUCUGGGGAUGUCUAGGGAAGAGGAAACUUCCCCAAACCUGGUAACUGCAUAAAGAUUUCUGUUGACUUUGUGCCAAUGAAUUCCUGUUCAUGUAUAAAAAUCCCUUCUCCCAACUUUGUGUGAUAUUUAGAUACAGUUGUUAAAAUAAUUGUGUCUGGCUUGCUUCAGGUUUCAUCAGGUUUGUUAAAAGAUGCAUUUCCUCUAAAAAGAGCAGAGAGACAGAAGUAACAGUUGAAGGAAGUAAUUUCAAAAGAGCAUAUUCCAAAUCCUGGAAGAUUAUUUUAUUCCUUUAAGAUCCCUUAAUUAUCCAGAAGAUGGCUACUAGAAAACAGUGCGUUUUUAUAUUGGCUCUUUUCCAUGUGGAAGUGAAAGAUGGCUUCUACAGUUUUAAAAAAGGGCUACUAUCAUGAAUCUGUUUGCUAAGACUGUCAGAGGAGUGGCAGGAGCCUGGCCUUGCUCCGAGCUGAAGCUGAAUCAUGUUGUGAGCACAGUGUGAGGUGCCGCCAGAGGCAGGAGGCUGGAACAGAGCUUGUUUUGUAGGGCUGGGCAUUUCUUCUCCUCCUUGAUGUGGUUUAUACCCUCUUCACAAGGCAGGACAAUCAGCCUGGAACUUACGAGUUCCUGCUUAGGAGUUUGUUAGAGCUCCUGUUAUGCAAGCUUCCCUUUUGCAAAGCUUUGCCUGCUGGAGCACACCUUGAGAGAGGGAGGCCAUGAGACACUGGCAAGUGUUGGGGGAUCCCUACAGGAGAGCAAAACAACUCCAGUGGCCCAGUUCCUGCUCCCCCUGUGUGUUCCUUGGCUUGUAGGGACAUAAAUUGUCUCAGCUCAGGUGUGUUGCUGACGUGGUUAAAGACUGCUUAGCUUUCUGCAGUGAAAUAAAUUGAUGACCUGUUGCAGCCCUUUUCCUGCUGCUCUGCAGUUUGAUAUUGAGGUUAUCAACAUCACUUUUGCAUUUCCUGCUUUCAUACAGAUAUUUCCACAGACCUUCCAAAAAGUAUUUGGCAUAACCCUCCCCUUGGAUACCCACACCCAUCACCACAGGAGCAACCUUGACACAAGUAGCUGGUGACUGAUUCUGCUGUGUCUGAAGGGUCUGAGCAGAAUUCUGCCUUGGACCCAUCUGCAGAGUCUCAGGCACUGUCUAGACUCCCCUUGAUGCUGGCUUCUGAUACCCCUGCUUUGAGACUUUCACCCAUUAACAUUCGGCACUUGUUCUUGCCUGUUGUUGUUUUUUGUUCCUUCUUUUUGAAAUGGUAAGAUGGUACUUUUUGUGCUAAAAAACUUUUUUAGAUUUUUUUUUAAGAAUCUGUUUAGAACUUUUUAUUCUAAACUAAAUCUGAACAAUCUCUGAUACUCCUUUAUUUCCCAUAGAGAGACUGGAAAUCAAGUAAUAGAAAAAUACUAAGUGGCCAUAGCAAUUUUUGUAUAGAUUUUACUAGGAGAGGGUAUAGCAAGUUUUGUGAAGACAGUUCUAAAGCUGAUAUUAGCUCGUUGUCAGGGAAGGAAAAGGCUCCAGUUAUUUAAAAGCAUUUCUCUUUUGAAAGACAAAAAAGACAAAAGCUCUUGUAGCUGAGACCAAGAAUUACAAAUUAGUCAAGAGAACCAUGUGCCUUUAAGUCCAUGUGGGAACUGUGUGUACCACACAGAAAAUGUAGUAUUCCUUCUCUAACCAGAUUUUAUGGAGAGAGAACUAUUGUGUAUGGUUUGCUAUUUGUUCCAGAUCCAUCAUUUGAGAAGCAAAGGGAGUUUGUGGAGUAGGUGAUGAUUCUAUAUUUGCAGUGGUGGCAAAACUACUGAGUUUGGCCCUAGUAAAGAUAUAAAUGGCAUCAGUGCUAAUAAGCUCCAACAUUAUUUAUGAUAAAUGUGGCAUAGACACCAAAAAGGUCUGUUACCUUUGUUUUAAAGGCUGUACCACUAUAAAAACUCUAUAAGUACAUUAUGAAAUGCCAGGUACCUUUCAGCAUUUCACUAGCCAAAGAAGCAGCUUUUUUAAAUUGCACAACAAAAUAGUAUUUGUGAGCAAAAAAUGUAAUUAGUCUAAUGUAAGGUAUUUCUAUUAUUAGGGAGUUGGUUUGUUUUGGGUUUAAUCUAAUAAAUCGGAGUAUUUCUAUUUUAUGUUGCUGUGUUCUCAGACUGCCUAACUUUAUGCAAAGAAAGUAUCAUCCAUAUUCCUUAACAGAUUUGUAUUACUUUGCAAAUCUAGUGAAACUAAUUGAAUUUGCUGUAAGAACCAAAUGUAACAAAAAUAAGUGGGAAUUUUUCUUCAUUUCAAGCAAAUUGAAUUUGUUCUUGUUCUGAAUACACUUUUCUCUUCCUACUUAUUUGUAAUGAGAAUGAAACAGCGUUGUGCUGUCAGUGGACCCCAGAUAGCUUGAAAAGAACAUAUUUUUUGCUCUUUGAAUUACUCAUAAAUUACUAAACUUCAGCCUCAGAUAAAUGUAGUAUCUAUCUGGCAUCCCUAUUUCUAAUUUUUUAUUCAGAGCUGAAAUGCAGCUCUUAAUUUGGAGACUCACUUAGGUCAACAAACAUAAAAGCAAAUGACUUGAUGGACUCAGUGUGUCACUUUCAAUUAUUUUAAGUGAACAUUUUUUUUCAAUUGCUGCUAAAUGUAAGGCCAUAUAAAAUUAACCCUUUGAAUCAGGAUCAUGUAAGCCAAAUUGUCUGGUCCUAAUGCCAUUUCUAACUACAUAUUUAAUAGUCCAUGGUGGAAAAGCAGAAGUUAGUUAAGGCUUGCCAGCUAUAAAUUCUAUAUCCAAAUCCAGGAACUGGCUGUAAAUACAUGGACUAAGAAGAGGCUUUCUGAGUCCAUGCCCAGAGCAAGUUGCUAUGGGUAGUUUUCUACAGAAAACUAAUCAGUCUGAUUUUGCAGUUCCUUAGUCCAUCUGACAAUGCUGUCACUGUUAGGAUGCCUCCCUACUAUCUCUGAAAUAUACAUUAGAACAACUCUAAAUUUAUUAUUGCUUCUCUCACUUAUUCUUCUUGUAAUAUUGGCCUUUACUUUCAGUUAAUCUUUUUUGUUUAAACCACUGCUGGUUUUUUCAAUCAGGCAUGCCUUGCCUUUUUUAUGUCCUUAUUUUAUUUGGCUUUUUAAAGAGAUGUGAUUGCUAAUCAACAUUCAUUAGCUUCUUUCCCUGUGUUCUCAUGAUGUAUUCAGUUUCUCACAGGAAAAAUGGCUGUCUGUUCAGAUUUUGGAGACUAGGAAGCUUUUAAAUAUUCAUGGUGAUUAUUUAGCACUUCUGUUUAUCAUGCAGAGCCUCACUAUGAUAUAUUUUGUGAAACAUCUCUACAUGGAAAAGUGGGGUAAUCAUACAAGGAAUAUUUAAUCUAAGUAUAAAAUAAAUAAGCAAUAAGUAUCUUUACUAUUUUUACUCUCAAAGAACUAAAGGUCUCGAGGUUUCUUUUGUUGAUGGUUUCUCAAAUAUCCUCAAGUCUUUUUAGCUUCUUGACUGAUCCAUCCCUCCCUUAGGUGUCUCAAAGAAGUUGCUCUAAUAUUGACGAUUCAAACUGCCUUUUUUCAUCUUUUCUAUUUCAAUAUGUAAUUUCCAGCCAAGCCAGUCUCCUACUUGCAGCUAGCA